rnacentral:lncRNA from 1 species
CCCAGAGAACCUGUGUCUACUUCUGAGCGCUGGGAAUGAAGCAGAUCUCGCAAAAGGGGAGGAAGGCCUUCACCGCUGAACCCGAGCUUUGCCAUUUCGAAGUGCUGAGUCACCUCGUCCUCUCAGGGUCAGACACUUUCACGCAGGAAACGUCCUGCAGAGCACCGCAGCGGGAGCACCGAGCUGACCUGGAAGGAGAGAACAAGGGCCUUCCUGAGGCAGGACAAGGACCCAGAACUACCCAGAAUGCAGCAGGGCGGCCCCGCACGACUGAGCUCUGAUCCUAACCUGCAAAGUGAAGUUUCAAUUUCCACUUCCUGAGAAGGUGUAUAGGUGUGAACCAAGUGCACGUCUAGUUCCCUUGGAGGCCAGAAAGAAGGCGGUGUCAGAUCCCCAGGAACCAUAGUUACAGAUGGUUGAUGUGGAAACUCAGAGAGGAUGCCACUGUUUUGAACUAUUUUGAAGGCACAGCCACCAGAGCUUUAGGUCAGAAGAGGUCCUUGGAACUGGAAUUACAGGUGGCUGUGAGCCUCCAGGUAGGUGCUGAGAAUCAAGCAGCCUGGCUCCUCUGUAGGAGCUCUAAGGAAUGCUCUUACCUGCUGAGCCAUCUGUCCAGCCCUGAUUGUCCUGGCUGUUAAUUGAGGAAGGAAGACUUACUCUGAGGGAGGGCUGAGCCAGUCCCCAGGCUGCUCCCUGAAUGGUAUGUAGAGGAGGGGAGCCAGCUAAGCACUGACCAGCGAGGGUGUGCACAUUUUCUUUGGUCUUUGUUUUGAAUGUGGUGUGGCUGGCUGCUUCAAUUCCUGACUUGAUUUCCUCAAAAGGAUAGGCUGUAACCCAGAAUGGUAAACUGCCUU